CGGCGUGCCUAACACAUGCAAGUCGUACGAGAAAGGGUCCUUCGGGACCUGAGUAGAGUGGCGCACGGGUGAGUAACGCGUGGAUAAUCUGCCCUUCAGCUGGGAAUAACUCAUCGAAAGGUGGGCUAAUACCGAAUAACGCUGUGAGACCUUGGUCGAUCAGCCAAAGAGAGCCUCUGCUUGCAUGCCCUCGCUGAAGGAUGAGUCCGCGUACCAUUAGCUAGUUGGUAGGGUAAUGGCCUACCAAGGCGACGAUGGUUAGCUGGUCUGAGAGGAUGAUCAGCCACACUGGAACUGAGACACGGUCCAGACUCCUACGGGAGGCAGCAGUGAGGAAUCUUGCGCAAUGGGGGAAACCCUGACGCAGCAACGCCGCGUGAGUGAGGAAGGUUCCUUCGGAUCGUAAAGCUCUGUCAGAUGGAAAGAACCGCAUGGGGGUUAACAGCCCCUGUGUCUGACGGUACCAUCAGAGGAAGCACCGGCUAACUCCGUGCCAGCAGCGGC
rnacentral:rRNA from 1 species